AUGUCAUUCUAUACCUCGAAAGGAUCUGGUACGGAGCGCGGGUGGUUGGCGCCGAGCAGUGGCGGUGCGCUGGCGUUGGACGCGGCGGCGCAGAGGCAGGUGCUGGUGGCGGAUGCGCUGUUACGGAGCGCCGACGUGGUGGGCUUAGCGAUGUGGCCGCCUGUGGCGGCGGCGGCACUGGAUCUGGCCGAUCCAUCAUCGUUGGAUCUGGAUGCUCUGUCGUCGCGGCUGUUGGCGGCAGUUGCCCCGCCAGUGGGGUUCCUUCGUCGCCCUGGAAGGCUGGCCACCUCGGGUGGUGGUGCACAAGGCUAG
rnacentral:rRNA from 1 species